UACAGAGGUCCCGAGCGUUGUUCGGAUUCACUGGGCGUAAAGGGUGCGCAGGCGGUCGGAUAAGUCUGAUGUGAAAUCCCGGAGCUCAACUCCGGAACUGCAUCGGAUACUGUCCGGCUGGAGGAAUGGAGGGGAGACUGGAAUUCUCGGUGUAGCAGUGAAAUGCGUAGAUAUCGAGAGGAACACCAGUGGCGAAGGCGAGUCUCUGGACAUUUCCUGACGCUGAGGCACGAAAGCCAGGGGAGCAAACGGG
rnacentral:rRNA from 1 species